rnacentral:rRNA from 1 species
GAUGAACGCUAGCGGCAGGCUUAAUACAUGCAAGUCGUGGGCAGCGCGGGUAGCAAUACCUGGCGGCGACCGGCAAACGGGUGAGGAACAUGUACGCAACCUUCCUUUAACUGGAGAAUAGCCCCUCGAAAGAGGGAUUAAUACUCCGUAACAUUUUGAUACAGCAUUGUAUUAAAAUUAUAGCUCCGGCGGUUAAAGAUGGGCGUGCACCUGAUUAGAUAGUUGGCGGGGUAACGGCCCACCAAGUCUACGAUCAGUAACUGGUGUGAGAGCACGACCAGUCACACGGGCACUGAGACACGGGUCCGACUCCUACGGGAGGCAGCAGUAAGGAAUAUUGGUCAAUGGUCUGACGACUGAACCAGCCAUGCCGCGUGAAGGUCACGGCCCUAUGGGUCUUAAACUUCUUUUGCGAGGGAGCAAUAAGGUCUACGUGUAGUCCGAUGAGAGUACCUCGCGAAUAAGCAUCGGCUAACUCCGUG